rnacentral:tRNA from 1 species
AAUAAAAUGCCUGAUAAAAGGGUUACUUUGAUAGAGUAAAUUAUAUAGAUUUCUAUUUUUAUUA